AAAUACCAGUUCUCAUUCCAUAAUUGUUCAAGUAAGCAUCUACUCGUAUAUAACAUACACCCCUCAUAACCGUAAAUCAGCGAUGGCUGCCUCCGGCGGUGCCAAAACCCUAACGUCCUCCUCUUCUUCCGCCGCAUCAGUCUCUCAGUUCUGGUCAACUCUGCCACUGCGUUCAAGCUCUCAAUUUCUUCAAGGACAAAUAAUCCGAUCAUUAUUCAGUUUUGAAAAGGAGCUCUCGAUUUUGCAGGAUCUUCAGCCCAUUCCAUUCGACUUUCAGAGAGACUUGAUAUCUCACUGAAGAGGCAGCAACUGCUAAAAUACUACCAGGUGACCCCAUUUGUAUGCUCUGGGCAAGGCAUAAGGGUGCAUUACAGGCCUAUCUUCAUUGGCAUGUAUAAUCUCCCCAUUGAUUUUCAGUCCUUUCUAACAGCUUUAUUCUCGUCUGAUCAAUUUCCCAAAUAUAUAACAGAUAACAGAUAGGGGAGGGAUCUCUUUAGAACCGCCAAGACUUGCUGUAUCGGGUGAGUCGAGAUAGAAACAGAGAUCUCAUAAUCACUGGUAUGUCUUUCUUUCUAGUUUCAUUUCUAGCUAUAUCAAGAAUCUCCAUGAGUUCAGAUAGGAUAUUUUUAUAUUCUUUGCGCUUUCGAAUAAGCGGUUUUAAUUAUUUUAGAAAGUAUCUUUUGUGUUUAAUUGUGUUUUGGAAAGUGAAAUUAGGAUUACUGAUCUGAUUUUAGUUUUAGGUUUUACAGAAAUUUGUUUCAGCUGGUGCAGUCAAACCAUUAGACACAACGUUGGUUGUGAUUAAUUAAUGUGAGAUGUGUGACCAUACUUAAUCUUGUAUGGUUAGCUGUUGUAAAGGAACUAAAAGGCUGGUUAGCCGUUGUAAAGACUACCCCAAGGGGAGUUUAUGAACUUGACCAAGAUGUUAGUGAAAUAGAGGAUGAUGAUGUAGAUAUGGAGCCUUUCUUUCAAGAGAAUGAAAGAAUAGAAUGCACGGUAAUGGAUGAUCUUCUCCCUAUUUCUAUUUUAAUCAUGUUUUGCUAUUUAAGUGUAGUUGAGGGACUGCACAAGCUCUUCAAUUGCCAGAUGUUGCACUCAAACAAAAGAAAAUUCUGUUAAUGUGGACUUCCACCAGAAAGAGAAGAGGAUUAAAGGGCAGUUUAUUCUACAUAUGUGGAGGUUUAGGCUGUGUUUAUGAGUACAUUAUUGACUAAAUGUGACAGGAUAAUUAGUAUCUUUAUGGUAUUUGAUGUUUCGAGUGGGAUGUUUUAUAUAAUUG